GCUGUAGCUUAGUGGUAAAGUAUCUGAUCUGCAUGCAGAAGGUGCCAGGUUCAACCCCUGCCAUCUCCA